UGGCUCAGGAUGAACGCUGGCGGCGUGCUUAACACAUGCAAGUCGAACGAAGCACCUCUAAUCGAAGAUUGAGAAAGCUUGCUUUGAUUGAUUCACCUUGAGGUGACUGAGUGGCGGACGGGUGAGUAACGCGUGGGUAACCUACCCUAUACAGGGGGAUAACAGUUGGAAACGACUGCUAAUACCGCAUAAGCGCACAGGACCGCAUGGUCUAGUGUGAAAAACUCCGGUGGUAUAGGAUGGACCCGCGUCUGAUUAGCUAGUUGGUGAGGUAACGGCUCACCAAGGCGACGAUCAGUAGCCGACCUGAGAGGGUGACCGGCCACAUUGGGACUGAGACACGGCCCAAACUCCCACGGGAGGCAGCAGUGGGGAAUAUUGCACAAUGGGCGAAAGCCUGAUUGCAGCGACGCCGCGUGAACGAAGAAGUAUUUCGGUAUGUAAAGUUCUAUCAGCAGGGAAGAAAAAUGACGGUACCUGACUAAGAAGCUCCGGCUAAAUACGUGCCAGCCGCAGC
rnacentral:rRNA from 1 species